rnacentral:lncRNA from 1 species
UUGCUCUUCUUCAAUGGGCUCUAAUUUUUUGAAAGAAUUUGAGGAUCUUCUACUCUUAGAACGAGAUAUUAGGAGGGUUGGUGCAACUUCACCCCAAUUGAGGAUGGUCUCCAUUUCGCUCACCAUUUGAUAAUAAAAACUCAAACAAAUCUUUUGUUCCUUAGAAAAAUAAGAUUAUAUUAAAUUAUGAAUGACGAAGAAGAUAAAAUGAAAU